AUUGAACACUGGCGGCAGGCCUAACACAUGCAAGUCGAACGAGUGGCGGACGGGUGAGUAAUGUCUGGGACACUGCCCGAUGGAGGGGGAUAACUCCUGGAAACGGUAGCUAAUACCGCAUACCAUCGGAUGUGCCCAGAUGGGAUUAGCUUGUAGGUGAGGUAACGGCUCACCUCGGCGACGAUCCCUAGCUGGUCUGAGGGGAUGACCAGCCACGCUGGAACUGAUGCAGGGUCCAGAUUCGUACGGGAGGCCACAGUGGGGAAUAUUGAGCAAUGGGCGCAAGCCUGAGGCAGCCAUGCCGAGUGUAUGAAGAAGGCCUUCGGGUUGUAAAGGACUUUCAGCGGGGAGGCGUUACCCGCAGAAGAAGCACCGGCUAACUCCGUGCCAGCCGCCGCGGUAAUUC
rnacentral:rRNA from 1 species